rnacentral:lncRNA from 10 species
CGAGGGAGAGGAGGAGAGGAGAGGAGCCUACCAUGCGCUUCCCCCGGUGCAGAUCGCGGGAGAGCCCAAUCACGGGGCGAGCUGGACCUGGCUGUGAUCAUUUAUAAUCCUUGACUCCUCCGCUCCGCCACUUGUCAAGAUGACAGGUUCAGUGCUAGAAUUUCUGCGUUGGAUGGAUCAAGAAUCUACGGGGAGCCAAGUCACUUAAAAGUAUCAGUUAUUCCCAAUAUUCCCUUCAUCUAAUGAAGUUCCUCCAAAUUUCAUGAUCCUUGUGACAAUCCACCCCAGACUAUGGUGAGAGACCCAGAGCUGCAGCAGUUUUGGUUGUGGUUAUUCUGACAUUGACCCGAAGGGAGCAAGAAUGUUUCUCAGGAGCCCUUGCCUGGACUCCCCUUCCAGACCACAACUUCCCCGGUGAUAUGGGACCCUGGAGGAGGAAGUCUACAAUGUGGGAGAGAUGAGUUACCAGGAAGAUAACCUUUGCACUCAGAAGGCUUGCGAACCCCAGAGGAGACUGUCUGUCUGAGAGAUCACCUUACCCACACUGUGGAAUAAAAAUAUUGCCUCUGACAUUAGGGAACUGGCAUUCCCCUCCUCCACUGUUUGAAAAGGUCAGAACUGGUCCUUCAAGCCAAAUAAGUUACUGCUUUUGAGGUGAAGCUGGUAAGACAGAUCUGGGGCCUGCAGGCAAAGUGGGUUCAGUUUCCGUUUGUAGUCAAGGCAACUUCUUCCAAAAGAGGCUUUCAACCUGCCUGGGCUUCUAGGCCCAGUUGAGAUCCAGUGUGACUCACAGGUUAUAACUAGUGGACCUUCCAUCCUCACGGAGCCUUGGCUACACCUACCACUUGGCCUGGGUCAGAAAUAAAACAAAAACUAAAACGAACAAACAAACAAACUUAAAAACAUAAAGGUAGAGAAAGAAAGAAAACCACCUCAGUUUGAAUCUGGGGUUGUCAUGUCUAGCUGUAUGACGUUGAGCAAGUCACUCGACUUCUCUGAGCCUCAGUUUCCACAGAUUAUAGGGCUGAGUGAGAUGAGGUUGUGACGGUGUUUGCACACUACAUUGGACAAGGGGCUGAGCAUCAUCAUAUGGCCAAAAGCCUGACAAACAACACUGGUCCCCACACAAGCAACUCUGGUCCCUCCUGAACCCACACCAAGCCAAGUGUUCUCCCUGUGGCAGAGCACCCGUGCACAAGAGACCUGGGUAGCUGGAAUCAAGGUUUCACCUCUCCGCUCAGACUUUCACUUUAUAUAUACCUUACUUUUUGCUCUGUAUGAAGUAUUUUAUUUCAGCCAUAAUUUUUUUCUACUUUAGAAAGCCAAUAAGAAUUAAUCAAUCAAUAAUUGCCUUGAUGGGGGAAAAACCAAUAAAAGUAGAGCUAUAACAGGACUUGAACUUAAUAACUUUGAAAUAUAAACGGGAGGCUUUAUCCAUGGGAAUUUACAGAUACUAUUUGGCCACCAGACAGCUUCCAUAUUUCUUCAUUACUG